UACACUCCUGCGGGAGGCAGCAGUGGGGAAUAUUGGACAAUGGGCGCAAGCCUGAUCCAGCCAUGCCGCGUGAGUGAUGAAGGCCCUAGGGUUGUAAAGCUCUUUCACCGGUGAAGAUAAUGACGGUAACCGGAGAAGAAGCCCCGGCUGACUUCGUGCCAGCAGCCGCGGUAAUACGAAGGGGGCUAGCGUUGUUCGGAUUUACUGGGCGUAAAGCGCACGUAGGCGGACUAUUAAGUCAGGGGUGAAAUCCCGGGGCUCAACCCCGGAACUGCCUUUGAUACUGGUAGUCUUGAGUUCGAGAGAGGUGAGUGGAAUUCCGAGUGUAGAGGUGAAAUUCGUAGAUAUUCGGAGGAACACCAGUGGCGAAGGCGGCUCACUGGCUCGAUACUGACGCUGAGGUGCGAAAGCGUGGGGAGCAAACAGGAUUAGAUACCCCUGUAGUCCCA
rnacentral:rRNA from 1 species